rnacentral:rRNA from 1 species
CGAGAAAGCCCGCAAGGGUGAGUAAAGCGGCGCACGGGUGCGUAACACGUGGGUAAUCUGCCCUGGAGCCCGGAAUAACUUCCCGAAAGGGAUGCUAAUGCCGGAUGAGACCACGGGAGCUCCGGCUCCCGCGGGAAAAGGUGGCCUCUGUAUACUAGCUAUCACUUCAGGAUGAGCCCGCGGCCCAUCAGCUAGUUGGCGGGGUAAUGGCCCACCAAGGCAACGACGGGUAGCUGGUCUGAGAGGACGAUCAGCCACACUGGAACUGAGACACGGUCCAGACUCCUACGGGAGGCAGCAGUGGGGAAUCUUGCGCAAUGGGCGAAAGCCUGACGCAGCAACGCCGCGUGUGUGAUGAAGGUCUUCGGAUCGUAAAGCACUGUCGCGAGGGACG